rnacentral:pre_miRNA from 1 species
UAUUAAAAAUUUCAUUCAUUUGUAAUGUUAAAAACUAGUCAGUGACAUAUAAAUGUCAUGUGUAUUUUAUACCGAUGUACAUAAAUCAGUUUUUAACGAUAAAAAUUGAUGAAAUUUUUAAUA